UAUCUCUCCGUACGGGGAAGGAUGAGAAGCUUCGACUAAGGUUCGAUUCGAGCGAAAGCGAGAAAGCGUUGCCAACGGCAACGACCCCGAAGGGCGAAGCGCGCAGCGCUGAGUAAUCCUUCCCCCGUCAUCC
rnacentral:sRNA from 1 species